CAGCAGACGCACACCUGCUCCUGCGCGGGGCCUCUGCCAGGUCCGCCGGGCCGCUCCAGGCUCUCAGCUCCUGGCCGCUGCUCCGAGCUCCGCCCGUCCUCGGGGAAGGAGCCCCUCCCAAGGCAAGUUCAACCGGGUUCCUUGGCAGCCGAAGUCUACACGGACCCCGCAGGGAGUGGUGGAGAAAAAGAUCUGGAUCCAGAGAAUCUUCAGAGAAGCCUGAACGGCUCCUGCCAAGACAUCGAUUUGACAAUCUGGACUGUUUUCUUUAAUCUCUGAAUCUGGGGUUUGGUGUCUGCAUUUGGACAGAAUCAAAAUGCUUUCCCUUGAUAAAAAGCAAGUGAGCAAGCACAUCCUAUGCGCUGAAGAGCCUGCUCGCCAAGCCCAGGCAACCCAGAGCCACCUGGCUCUUCUGAAGCCAGCUCUUCAUAGGAGUCGCCUGUGCUCACGGCCCACGGUAAAAGUCCCCGGACAUGUCGCAGCCUGGAGUUCAGACACUGCAGCGUGCUACAGAGCCUUCUCAUCGUAUACUUGCUCAGUAGGUUUUAACCAGGACUUAUGAUAAAAGAGGGCUUCCCAGGUGGUA